UAAAUAUGUUUUCUCAGAAAAAGCACGACAUUGCUCACAUUGCUUCCAGUAUUUUUAUUAGCCAGCUCGGGUGCUGGCUAUUUUUU
rnacentral:antisense_RNA from 1 species